UUCCCGGGCCUUGUACACACCGCCCGUCACACCACGAAAGUCGGCAAUACCCGAAGCCGGUGGCCUAACCCGCAAGGGAGGGAGCCGUCGAAGGUAGGGUCGAUGAUUGGGUG
rnacentral:rRNA from 1 species